AAGAGACAGAAGGAACAUAGACCAUACACGCAUUCUAGAGGAAGAGGAGAGAGAAGAGGAAGCAGGAAGGAGAAUGAAGAAAGUUUCCUCAUCAGUCUCUCUUGCAGAUAACUAUGGCCGUGUGCCUGAGAUCUGGCCAAUGGAAUCGUGGACAGUUCUCCAUGCUCUUUCUCCUUCUGUGGCAACUCUGAAUGUCGUGUGUUCAAGAUGAAGACAGAAGAUAGAAUGACCUUGGGUCUCUGAAUCAUUGCUUGGAGAAGAGCAAUUUACUGAUCAGUGGUGUGAAAAUAAGUAAUUCAAAAUCUAAGCUAUUGGGCCAGGUGCAGUGGCUCACGCCUGUAACCCCAGCACUUUGGGAAACCAAGGCAGGUGGAUCAUUUGAGGUCAGGAGUUCGAGACCAGCCUGGCCAACAGGGUGAAACCCCGUCGCUACUAAAAAUACAAAAAAUUAGCCGGGCAUGGUGGCAUACGCCUGUGGCCCCAGCUACUUGGGAGGCUAGGGCACGAGAAACACUUAAGCCCAGGAGGCGGAAGUUGCAGUGAGCCAAGACUGCACCACUGCAUGCUAGCCUGGGCAAGAGAGCAAGACUCUGCCUCAAAAAAAAAAAAAAAAAGAAAAAAAUCUAAGCUGUUGGAACAUUAAAUUAUUUUGAGCUUUAAAGAAAUGUGUUUAUGAGACUUGAGUCAUGUGACAGGCAGCUGUAACCUAGGAAACUGUAAACAUUUUUUCUCUGAUUAUAGAUUAGCCUCCUUCCUUAUCUACAUAAUUUUGUAAAAUGUUGUAAAUGACUAAAGGGUACUUCCCUUUAGUCCCACUUCACUGCUGAUCUUCAUUGCAGAUUAACUUCCUUCCUACCUCUCUCACACAAAGCCUUCAUGACUGUUACAUUAUAUACUCUUUUAAAUUAGAAAAUAAAUGAAACCAAGCCACAAGGAAAAGAAAACAAAUUAACUAAUUGAAUUGUUUUAAUUCAUAAACCAGCUUUGUAUAAGAAAUAAUCCUGUUAAAUUUCUUUGUUUUCUUCCUUUAUAAACAAGACCUUAACUUUUGACAUCAGAGCACGGACCCCAUUUCACUGACCCCAUUUUCACGGAAUAAACGCCUUAAAAAAAUUUUUUUAAUAGAAACAGAGUCUCACUUUGAUGCCCAGUCUAGUCUUGAACUCCUGGCUUUAAGCAAUUCUCCUUCUUGGUCUGCCAAAGUGCUGGAAUUACUGGUGUGAGCCACUGUGCCCAGCCUGAAUAAACUCUUUAAAAAUGGGUGCUGAUCCUUUUGAUUCUUUCAUGUUGAUAGGGGCAAAAUUCUGUUUUAGAUUUCACUGGUAAAAGAUAAAAUCUUAUCUUAUUAGGCAUUUGAGAUGUUAGGAUUGAUCUGUUAAACUGCUAGCAUUACAUUAAUCCCUACAAUAGGGUUAUAGGAAACUGCAACUUUCUACAUUUUACAUUUAGAUACUGUUUGCAUUUUGCAGAGCUUUACAUUGCAUAUUUAUAAUCAGCAUUGUAUGCAAUAUAGAUUUUUAAAAAUUAUGUUUCAAAAUUUAUAGCCAGCUUUUUCUCCUUGUCCUCUGAGUAAUUCUUUUGCUUAACAUUUUGGUGGAAAAUGCAAAGCUGGGUGGUGUUACCAAAACGCUUGUUGCCCAAGGUCUAUAAAUAUAGAAAUCAGUUUGCUAUCAUUUCUGGGUUUUUUAAUUGAAAUAUAACUCACAUACUAUAAAA
rnacentral:lncRNA from 1 species